rnacentral:rRNA from 1 species
CCUACGGGAGGCUGCAGUGAGGAAUAUUGGUCAAUGGACGAGAGUCUGAACCAGCCAAGUAGCGUGAAGGAUGACUGCCCUAUGGGUUGUAAACUUCUUUUAUAAAGGAAUAAAACGAGGCACGUGUGCCUUUUUGCAUGUACUUUAUGAAUAAGGAUCGGCUAACUCCGUGCCAGCAGCCGCGGUAAUACGGAGGAUCCGAGCGUUAUCCGGAUUUAUUGGGUUUAAAGGGAGCGUAGAUGGGUUGUUAGGUCAGUUGUGAAAGUUUGCGGCUCAACCGUAAAAUUGCAAUUGAUACUGGCAGUCGUGAGUACAGUUGAGGGAGGCGGAAUUCGUGGUGGAGCGGUGAAAUGCUUAGAUAUCACGAAGAACCCCGAUUGCGAAGGCAGCUUACUAAACUGUGACUGACAUUGAUGCUCGAAAGUGUGGGUAUCAAACAGGAUUAGAUACCCUAGUAGUC